rnacentral:rRNA from 1 species
GGAUAAAAGCUACCCCGGGGAUAACAGGCUUAUCUCCCCCAAGAGUCCACAUCGACGGGGAGGUUUGGCACCUCGAUGUCGGCUCAUCGCAUCCUGGGGCUGUAGUCGGUCCCAAGGGUUGGGCUGUUCGCCCAUUAAAGCGGUACGCGAGCUGGGUUCAGAACGUCGUGAGACAGUUCGGUCCCUAUCCGUCGCGGGCGCAGGAAAUUUGAGAGGAGCUGUCCUUAGUACGAGAGGACCGGGAUGGACGCACCGCUGGUGUACCAGUUGUUCUGCCAAGGGCAUCGCUGGGUAGCUAUGUGCGGACGGGAUAAGUGCUGAAAGCAUCUAAGCAUGAAGCCCCCCUCAAGAUGAGAUUUCCCAUUCCGCAAGGAAGUAAGAUCCCUGAAAGAUGAUCAGGUUGAUAGGUCUGAGGUGGAAGUGUGGCGACACAUGGAGCUGACAGAUACUAAUCGAUCGAGGACUUAACCUAA